CCUACGGGAGGCAGCAGUGGGGAAUAUUGGACAAUGGGCGCAAGCCUGAUCCAGCCAUGCCGCGUGUGUGAAGAAGGCCUUCGGGUUGUAAAGCACUUUUGUCCGGGAAGAAAUCCCGUCGGUUAAUACCCGGCGGGGCUGACGGUACCGGAAGAAUAAGCACCGGCUAACUUCGUGCCAGCAGCCGCGGUAAUACGAAGGGUGCAAGCGUUACUCGGAAUUACUGGGCGUAAAGCGUGCGUAGGCGGUUCGUUAAGUCUGCCGUGAAAGCCCCGGGCUUCAACCUGGGAAUGGCGGUGGAUACUGGCGGGCUAGAGUACGGUAGAGGGGUGGUGGAAUUCCCGGUGUAGCAGUGAAAUGCGUAGAGAUCGGGAGGAACAUCUGUGGCGAAGGCGGCCACCUGGACCAGUACUGACGCUGAGGCACGAAAGCGUGGGGAGCAAACAGGAUUAGAUACCCUGGUAGUCCACGCCCUAAACGAUGCGAACUGGACGUUGGGCUCAACUAGGAGCUCAGUGUCGAAGCUAACGCGUUAAGUUCG
rnacentral:rRNA from 1 species